CAGCCUGGAAGAGUGGGGGCGAGAAUGGCUUUAGGAACUCAGAAAGGCUAGGGUUCGAAUCCUAGCUCUGCCAUUUAUAUGCACUGUAACCUUAGACAGUGACUUAUCCUCAUUUAACCUGUUUCUGACCUUUAUAGUGGGAGACGAGGCCUUCUCCACAUAGAUGUGAUGAACGAAAGAGACUAUGGAUGUAAAAUGCCUGGAACAUAAUAGGCACUUAUCAAAUUAUUUCAUCAUUCCCUCUUUCUCCUCUUCCAUUAAAAACUUUCUCACUCCGACAUACAUUUGAUAACAGUGAGAUUCUUAAAAUCCACAGGCCCAUUCCUGUCCACUGGGCACACCAUGCCUCAGACCCGGCUGGCUGAAGGUGGAGUCCACCUUAUCUGUCUGGCUUCACCACUUCGUCAGGGGCCAGCAACCUAGUGUGCCGGGUAAAUCCCCACUGCCACCCCAGCCUCCAGGUUUCAGGCUCACCCUAGAGUGUCCUGGGGACUGGAGGGAAAUAUCCAGGUGUCUGGUGGGGAGGGAUUUGGGAAAUAAAAUGAUCGUAGACAAAAACGGAAUAAGCACGUCAGAGUUCCAUCUGGGUCUGCUUCGGAGGCAGGUUUGGCUCCGUCUAAUGGGGACAAGGGGGUUGUUAGUCUGAAAUGACUUGUUUGCCAGGUCAGGUAAGUGAAUAGCCAGGAUCUGCGGUUUACCACACAGCAUACAGAGUUGAGGCACUAAAUCAUAUUUUUCACAUGUGCAGGUUACUUUCACACAUAAAUAUCUGUGUACACAAAUAUAUGUAUGCGUGUAAUGCCCAAUCACAUGAACUUGUGUUCAUGUGUGCAAAUACACAUGUUCAUCUCUGUUGGUAAAAACACGGCCAGUACGAAUUUUAUCUCUGUUGGCAAAAUCACAGCCAGCAUCACUAUAGACCUAGGGUCUACAAAUUCGCGUCGCGUAUAAGUGUCCAGAGAGGGGAAGGGGGGUGCAAUUGCAAAAUAGUAAAUUGCACAUUAAACCUGCACUCGCGUGCUCAGGCCAUUCUACUGAAAUCACUGCGAGUGCUUCUACGAGGCCGUUUUGCAUAUUUGAAAAAACUUCAAGUUACAAGUGUGUGUGUAUAUGCUGCAUGUGUACAGAUGCCCCAACGCGAGGGAAGGACCAUUAAACCCAAAACGCGCGUGCCCGUGUGUUCGCACAGACGUGUGCUUCGGCGCCUGCACACGGCCGGCGCGCAGGCACGCGGACGCCUACACGAAUACAUAGGCAUGUGUUACUGACGCAUCUGGGGCACUUUCUUUCAAAGAAAGUAGGGAAUGAAAAUCCAAUCUGAGAGUCAUCAGGGUUCAUCUGGAGGUCGCCCAAGGGGCACGCGAUUCCGUCGCCACCUCUCGGACCAGCAGCCCACGUCCAACGCUGGGCAGACCUCAGAUUCCCAGGCAGUCAGGAUUCCUGUCCCGUGCGCUUUCUAUUCAACCCUCAGCGAAAGGCUGCGACGCACUCCAUCUCAGCGGGAGACGUCGCGCAACUGCUGAGCCCUGUCCGCGGAGACUAAACAAGGAGAGGAACAGGCUGUAAACACACAUCCUGACACACAAGCAGACCCGGCGCAUAAUGAGGUAGCAGCCUCCAGCCGGCCACCGUGACUAACUCAGAACAAAAGCGCUGACUCCACGCCUCCUCCAACAAAGGGGCCACCAGCCCGGGCGCUCCCCGAAGGCUGCGGGGCUCCCGGCUGCCGGCUGCGGAGCUGCAGCGCGCAAACUUCCCGGAACUCCCGGGGCUGCAGGCGCCAAGGAGCCGGGGCCGCGGAGGGAGGAAUCGCAAGCCGCCCGGAGAAAGCAGGGAUGUUGCUCUUGGAGAAUGUGAAGACAGUUUGCUUCUUGACAAGCGAGCGAGCGGGCGCCCAGAUUUUUGCAGCCUUUCCGAGUCUCCCCCGAGGGAGAGGCGGCAGGGAAAACGCCGGAUGUGGGAGCCGCCAGGGAAGGAUUCCGCGCAGGGGAGCCGCCCUCCUUGGCCCCAGACCCUCCUGCCUGGGGUCCCCUUUGCGCACUGCCAGUGUAUGGCCUGAAGCUCUGAGGACGGUGCUGGGGACUGGGGAAGACUCUUGAAUAAUAACUGCAAAGAAGAAAGAGGCGAGAAUACCCCGCCCCACCUUGAAGCAGAAAGGACUGUGUUCUUAAAGCUGUUGGCUGCAGUCACAGGGCCAGUUGCCCGCCUCUAUUCCCUGAGUAAAGUGUAGCAUCUUCUGUCUUCCUGGCUUGCUUGCACCAUUCAGCAAAUUAUACUCUUUCCUCGCCACAGUGGGAAUGCUCAGGGAAGUGUGUGUGUGUGUGUGUGUGUGUGUGUGUGUGUGUGUGUGUGUUUCCCCUCUACACUGAGGCUGCUGUUAGAGAGGUUACCAUGUAACACUUCCAAAAACCUGGAGGUUUACAUUUUGUAAAGGAUGGGGACACUCCUGGUCUGUCUCAACCCCAAUUCUAGUUAGAGUGUCAGGGACUGAACAAAGACACCAACAUGGGGAAGUCCAUCUCCAGGGUAUCAUGCAUGCUCCCAGGAAGCCCCUAGUGUGUACGUUUCCUGCACUUUCCCCUUCUCUCUAACCUCUGUCUCCUGUUUGUAAGGCAGAGGAAGGGUGAUUCGCUGCCGCUGCACAGGAAUGCGGGGUUAUGGUUAUCUCCAAGAAAGGGUGGGGUGAGGCUGAGUCACAGGGAGAGCAGAAAAGCUCUGUAUCUUCAACGAGGACACCCCCGCCCCCUCCCCGCUACCUUUCCCAGGCUUGUGGGCCUCAUUCAGCAAAGCAGGGAGUGUUUUAUAUUGGUGUGAGAGGCUGUCAGUCAGCAGCAAAUCAGUUCAGGCAUAUCUCUUUCUUUCUGAAAUCAACUCAUUGCCUUGGUCACACUAUACAGAAAAUCUGCUUAUCACUGCUAUCGACAAUAAAAAUUAGUGGAGCCUU